UUGCUGGCGUCGGUGACGUUGCUGCGAACAAUCAGAGACGGUUUAAUACAGUUACUUUUUUUAUUAAACUCGCAAAAUCGAGGGCGAAUCUCUUAUAAGUGAUCUUUCCGCUGAUAGAUAUGUAUAACUGAGCGAGUUGGGCGGCGCUGAGCGACGACGAUGAUGAACGGUUCUCGUUGUGGGUUCGCGCGGAUGUCGUCGUUGACCGGGCAAUGCUUCGACAGGAAUUAUUGAUAUUACUAGGCCCGGCUGACGAUGCGUUUCCGCCUGCGAAGUUACCUGCGAGGCCCUGAAAUCGACGCACCGGAGUCACCAUCUGCCUGAGCUCGCCACCUCGCCGACAUUGGCCUGCAAAUAUUAGCAACAAAUGAAAUUAUUAGACGAAUAGAGGAACAAAUCGAUGAUCCGAGAGGCGAAAAUGAAAGUGUGGCAGGGUAUCGACGGCCGGUGAAGCCGUAGUACCUGCCCGCUGGUUUGUUGAUCCAGAAGUGCAUCAGAAUAUCACUGUGCAGCGAGCUCAGAGAUUCAUCGCUGCCUGAUAACAACGCAUUCGAUUAUAUAAUCAAAAUAUUUCACAACUUGUGCAGAUGUAGCGGAAGAAAAGAG